rnacentral:rRNA from 1 species
CGCUGGCGGCGUGCUUAACACAUGCAAGUCGAACGUUUAUAUUUAAAAUGAGAGCUUCGGCAGGAUUUUUAUCUAUCUUAGUGGCGGACGGGUGAGUAACGUGUGGGCAACCUGCCCUGUACUGGGGAAUAAUCAUUGGAAACGAUGACUAAUACCGCAUGUGGUCCUCGGAAGGCAUCUUCUGAGGAAGAAAGGAUUUAUUCGGUACAGGAUGGGCCCGCAUCUGAUUAGCUAGUUGGUGAGAUAACAGCCCACCAAGGCGACGAUCAGUAGCCGACCUGAGAGGGUGAUCGGCCACAUUGGGACUGAGACACGGCCCAAACUCCUACGGGAGGCAGCAGUGGGGAAUAUUGCACAAUGGGCGAAAGCCUGAUGCAGCAACGCCGCGUGAAGGAUGAAGGGUUUCGGCUCGUAAACUUCUAUCAAUAGGGAAGAAAGAAAUGACGGUACCCUAAAUAAGAAGCCCCGGCUAACUACGUGCCAGCAGCCGCGGUAAUACCUAGGGGGGAAGCGUUAUCCCGAAUUACUGGGCGUAAAGGGAGCGUAGGCGGCAUGGUAAGCCAGAUGUGAAAGCCUUGGGGUUAACCCUAGGGAUGCCUUUGGAACUAUCCAGCUAGAAUACAGGGAGAGGAAAGCGGGAAACUCCUAGUGUAGCGGUGAAAAUGCGUAGAUAUUUAGGAAGAACACCAGUGGCGAAGGCGGCUUUCUGGACUGAAACUGACGCUGAGGCUCGAAAGCGUGGGGAGCAAACAGGAUUAGAUACCCUGGUAGUCCACGCCGUAAACGAUGAGUGCUAGGUGUCGGGGAGGAAUCCUCGGUGCCGCAGCUAACGCAAUAAGCACUCCACCUGGGGAGUACGACCGCAAGGUUGAAACUCAAAGGAAUUGACGGGGGCCCGCACAAGCGGUGGAGCAUGUGGUUUAAUUCGAAGCAACGCGAAGAACCUUACCAAGGCUUGACAUCCCGAUGACCGUCCUAGAGAUAGGACUUCUCUUCGGAGCAUCGGUGACAGGUGGUGCAUGGUUGUCGUCAGCUCGUGUCGUGAGAUGUUGGGUUAAGUCCCGCAACGAGCGCAACCCUUAUCUUCAGUAGCCAUCAUUCAGUUGGGCACUCUGGAGAGACUGCCGUGGAUAACACGGAGGAAGGUGGGGAUGACGUCAAAUCAUCAUGCCCCUUAUGUCUUGGGCUACACACGUGCUACAAUGGCUGGUAACAAAGUGACGCAAGACGGUGACGUUAAGCAAAUCACAAAAACCCAGUCCCAGUUCGGAUUGUAGUCUGCAACUCGACUACAUGAAGCUGGAAUCGCUAGUAAUCGCGAAUCAGCAUGUCGCGGUGAAUACGUUCCCGGGCCUUGUACACACCGCCCGUCACACCAUGGGAGUUGGAAGCACCCGAAGUCGGUGACCUAACCGUAAGGAAGGAGCCGCCGAAGGUGAAGCCAGUGACUGGGGU